AGUUUAUUUUCAGCCUUUUUGAUCCCAAACAUAACCCCUUACUUCACUCAACUUAAAUGAUAUUUUACAGCUCAAUGUUUUCUGGGGAUACAAUUUUUUUUUUAUGGAACAUUUGUAAGAAUGAAGAAAUCCACUGCAACCAAUGGUUGAUCGGCUGUACUUGAAAUAGAAUUGACACUCAGAUGUAUAAUUUUUUUAAACAUUUAAAAAAAACAAUUUUAUGUGCUCAGAAAAUUAAAAGUACUUUUACAAA